rnacentral:lncRNA from 1 species
GGGGCUGGGCGAGAAUGUGGCCGUGUGGGGCGAGGACCUGGGAGUUGGUGUCCGACGCCGCCCCAGGCUCAGGCUUCCAGGACCUCCCGCCCGGGCCCAGUUUGCCAGCCAUCAAGAGGAAAUGGAUCCUGGCUUUGUUUCUCCAAAAUCCUUGAAAGAGGCUGGGGGAAGGGUCGGGACCGUCCCAACCCACCUCAUCCCUCAGCCUAGGCUGGACCCCCUCCCUAAACCAGCGGCUUUUCACCCCGCCCUCCACAAUCCCACGAGGGGCUUCCCUGGGGUGAAAUUAGGCUGCUUCCCGGGAAUUUCCUCCCCCAUGCUGUCCACGGCCACUAGGGACUACAAAACCUAGGGAGCUCUGCCUGCUUUCAAGGCCCCAUUCCCAAGGCUGUGCUCAACAGUGACGCUUCUAUUUUAUUAUCAGUUAUUGCUGUUAAUCUCUUACUGUGCCUAACAAAUUAAACUUUAUCGCAGGCCUUUUCUACCUAUAAAACCCACCUCCUCUGCCCAGCUCAUUGGAGUACCGUUUCUAAAUUUUUAGAGAAGAUGCCAUCCUGAUUCGUGAAUCAAUAAAAGCCAAUAGAUCUUUAAUCUAAAUCUGUGGAAAUUUUGACUUCUGACAAAGAGGUAUUAAAUAACUGUAUAACCGCAUCAGACCAAUCUGAUUCACCUUUUAUAUACCCAAGUUGUGAGUUGUUUUUCAGUUGCAUGGACUCCCAGAAGGAAGGUUUCACACGUAAGCUGAGGAUGCCCAGAUGAGCCGAGCAUGCAACCGGGGCGGAACCUGAGUGCUCAAAUCAAAGCAGGGACUGAAUUAAGAGAUGGGCACUGCAUGGUGAGAUCCAGAAUGCAAUCAGAUCAAGCCCUGGCAUCACCCCAUGGCAGGGUCCAGUCAGAUGAGCAUCCCAGCAUCACCUCAUCGCAAAAUCUAAUCAGAUCAUGUGUCAUUACCGUAUGCUUAUAAAACCCAGCUCAAGGAGACAGAGUUGAGGGUUUCCUCAUGUCUCCUUGACAGUCAACUCACGACAAAGCCUUUCUUUUCUCAAAAACCAGUGCCAUGGUGUUGGCUUCUGGCACAUCAGGAAGCAAGCCCGUUGAUUGCUCAGUAGCAAUUGCAGCAAGGUAGAAGAACAACAGAAUCUGUUCUGACAUUUUUUUCUGAGGGCUUUCUCUGAAAUGAGUAACAAAGAUAGUUUCACUUUUACAGUUACAUAGUAGACCAUCAGGAAAUUGAAUGUCCACGGUCAGGUGUGACAGAGAAGCUUGCGGUAGACCAAGACUCCAGCUAACAACUAGAAAAGCCAGAAAGCAAAGUCAGAAAACAUCUGUUUGAAGGCAGUGGAAGCUGCUGAGGUAAGAAUGGGGGGACUUGAUAUUCCAGAGAAUGAGGAACCUUCAAGUGAGCUAAUGUCCACAGUGGCUUGUAUUGAUGUGUGACGGAUUUUGCCAAUUCUGGAUACAAGGAUGAGGCUGAGAAUUUAGACUUUGAGACCACAGAAGGCCACUGCUGGGGACAGAAAAACAACACAGCUUUUGCAGAGACAUAGGGGGAAAUUCCAAGGACAAUUGCUACAUUCAAGGCUUGUAUGGGGCAAGAAACUGAAAUAUAAAUGGAAGGCCUCUGAAAGCAGAAGUUUUUGAUAGACUGCAAAACAAAGAUUCGAGUCUGAGAUCUGCUAGGGUGGUGGUGGAAGUGGGUUGCUGCAGAGCCUACACCAUGUUCCCAGUUGGAAACUGGAGGGCAAAGGUAGCUUGAACCCUACCAGAACUUCAGCCCAGCCUUCACUCCACACAGUCCUUGAUUGGAUUAAGGUUAUUGGCCACUCCUCUCUUUGGUUUUGUGGAGGAAAGGGAAAACCCUCGUGAGAGAAUGAUAACAUUUGAAGCCUCUACAACUUUUUAGAAGUUGUAUUUGGCAUCUCAUUAAAAAGUUACUAGAUAAAUGAAAAAAAAGAAAAAGACAAUAGAAACGGACCCACAGAUGAGUCAGAUAUUGGAGUUGCCUGAAUAAAAAUAACUAUGAUGACCAUUUUCAAGAAAA